CCUACGGGUGGCAGCAGUGAGGAAUAUUGGUCAAUGGACGAGAGUCUGAACCAGCCAAGCAGCGUGAAGGAUGACUGCCCUCUGGGUUGUAAACUUCUUUUAUAUGGGAAUAAAAUGUUCCACGUGUGUGCUUUUGUAUGUAUCUUAUGAUUAAGGGUCGUCUAACCCCGUGCCAGCAGCCGCGGUGAUACGGUGGGUCCGAGCGUUAUCCGGGUUUAUUGGGUUUAAAGGGAGCGUAGGUGGAUUUGUAAGCCAGUUGUGAAAGUUUGCGGCUCAACCGUAAAAUUGCAGUUGAAACUGGCAGGCUAGAGUACAGGAGAGGUGGGCGGAAUUCGUGGUGUAGCGGUAAAAUGCUUAGAUAUCAGGAAGAACUCCAAUUGCGAAGGCAGUUCACUGGACUGCAACUGACACUGAGGCACGAAAGUGUGGGUAGCAAACAGGAUUAGAUACCCCAGUAGUC
rnacentral:rRNA from 1 species